UCAGAGAGACAGUAGACCUUGGAGGCAUAUUCCUAAGCAACCCACCCCUUCUUUACUAGGCUCCAGCUGUCAUCUCACCUGCUGGCUCCCUUAAUUUUAGUCUCUAGCCCUUCCCUACUGGAACUUGAAAUACUAAAGGGAACGGUUAAGAAGUUUAAUUCCUGGACCGGAGCGCCCCCUAGGCACACCGAGCUAAACUGUGACGCGCUUCAUCUGACUCAGGAUUCUGGGAAGUUGAUGUCCAGGGUCAGCAUCGGAUCCUUGAACUUCCCGGUUUGUAUUGUGAGGCAAGCACCCUGGGACUUUCCUGACUUGGGCAGGGAGGGUGCAGGGAAGGAGACGGGGAAGAAGGAAGUGGCAAACACUGUCCAAGCAGGCACCGAAAAGGCUAUGCAGGGGUUGCUCCUUCAACAGACACGUGGGGCUAGAGUGGGGGCGGGAGUGGUAGAUAUACCAGAGACUCAGGAGAUGCAAUUCAGCAGGCAAUAUUCAGCAGCCGCGGUGAGUGCACAGGGACAGAAGAACCAUCACUUAAUAAAAAGCACUGUUAGAGCCGGCCAGUGUGGCACUCACCUUUAAACCCAGCAUUUGAGAGGCAGAGACCGGAGAAUCUCUGAGUUCGAGGCCACCCUGGUCUACAACCGGAAGUUCACAGAGAAACUCUGUCUUGAAAAAAAACAAAACAAAACAACAGCAAAAACCUGUUAGAACAGAACAACCCAUUUCAAGUCAACUAUUUAUGUUCCUGUUACUGCUCUCUUGUUACAGUGAAUCUUAUAUGUUCAUUUUAAACAAGGAUUCUUCAAGUUUAUAACUUUUUUGCUGCAUUUUGAUUUUCUUUCCUCUUUUUUUUUUAAAUACUUAUCUCCUAUAUACAUAGCUAACAUAACCAAAGCUUUGUGUCAAGUAGUAUGUUACAUUUCGUCUCUGUAUGUGUACAUUGUGGUGAUCUAGUGUAUAAGACCUGUGUGCAGUGUUUAUCUGUGUGUCUCUGUGGGAUAUGUAUAUGACGCAUCCAACAUAUAUGCAUUAUAUGUUUCUAUCUAUGUUUGAUAUUUUUGAAUGUUUAUAUGAUUGUGUGUGUCGUAUCUAUGCUCUAUAUUUGUGUAUCUGUUUCUGUGUGGAGUGAGUGUAUAUGUAGUGUGUUUAUUUGGGGUGAAUAUAUUUCUGUUUCUACAAGUAUUAACAUGGUCUGUGUAUGUGUGUCCAAGUAUGUGUGUGAAUUUGUGUAUGAACAAAUGUGUGUGUGUGUGUGUGUGUCUGUGUCUGUGUGUGUGUGUGUCUGUGUCUGUGUGUACUAUGUUCAUGUUUGCUGACUCUAGCAUCUCAGGUCCAAAUUCAGACCUUAGUUACUGUUCUGGAAAGUGAGACUUCCCAGGCACAGCAUCUGAGACUGGCUAGCAUCUAAGAGUUGGACAAGGCACUUUGCAUGGUAGACGUUUGAGAACCUGCACAGUCACUGUGUGUGCUGGGGGCAGUGACAUGCCGCAGCUUCUGCCGAGGCCAGCGUCCGUGCUUAUCAGCAGUCAGCACCCUCAAGAGCCAUUAUCACAGGCCACAGAGCGCUUGACUUCACAUGCUAUGUGUUUCUUUCUCCUCUAAGAUACAUUUUCAUUCUCACCUAAAGACAAAAGGUCUCUUGGGUGGAUCCAUGGGUCCUUUUUCCUUGUUAGGCCAGUCGACAUCAACAACGUCAGCCUUUUUGUCGGGGCAGGAAGUGGUGGCGCAGAUCCAAAUCAGCAAGGUGGCCUUUCCCCUAGUUUCUAGCCACAGUUCCGACUUGUGUACACAGCUCUGCCUCACCCUGCACAGUGAGCAUGCCCCGCUGUGUGGCUCAGUCAGCCUCCUGCCUCCUGACCUGGCUCUUACACAGAAGAUGAGACAGUCGUUAGGCCAAAGCAUUCAAGGUUUAGUUUAAUCCCAUAAGUGAAUUCCUCUAGUAGCCAUCAAGAGGUGUGGCCAUACCCUAGGGGAGGAGGGAAGGCUGAGAGCUUGGCUCAGGGUAAGCUAGAACUCACACCCAUCCAGGUUCACUCCUUACUCUGUGACUGGGAUACACAGGAUCUUUGGGCUCUGCUUCCUCAGUUGUUCCUGACUUACUUAGUGUUGGGCAGCAAACCUGGUAUAGAGUUCAUAGCGAAGUACAUAGACUACGACCUUUUAUUCAGUGUGUAGGUUGGCUUCCUGGACCCAGCCUCAGUCUGAGGGAGAACAGGUUGGGAGCAGAGUUCUUCCCAGACUGCUCUGUAGUCAAGGUUCUAGAAGCAAGUCAUCGUUUAUACUCCAACUAAGAUGUGCAAGGCCAGAGGAGGGGUGUGUGUGUGUGUGUGUGUGUGUGUGUGUGUGUGUGUGUGUGUGUGUGUGUGUAAGUUUGAGGGGGUGUGUCCAGGUGCAGAGACUAAAACCAGAGGAAGAUAUCACUUUUUGGCCUUUAUUCCCUGGAGACAGGGUCUCUCACUGAACUUGGAGCUAGGCAGCAGCCAGCAAGCCUGGGACCCUUCUGCCUCUGCCCCAGCACUGGGGUUGCAGGUGCUUGAGCAACCACAUCGACUUGAAUGACAUGGAUCCUUAUGCUUGUGAUGCGAGUGUCCUUACCUGUGAGCCGUUUCUCCACCCCUACCACUCACAUCUCGGCUCUUUUACCCUGACUUCCAGCGGCCAACAUCUGCACAUAUCUGACCUUGCACGUCUCAGCCUCCUCUAGCUCCAGCAAACCGGGGUUCCCUUAACUUGGUGCUUUCUUUCAAUAUUUAAAAAAACGAAACAAAACAUCCAUCACCACCACCAAACUUUUCUCAACAACCCAAGUACUGAAUUCUUCACCUAACUGAAAAGCAUAUGAGAAAGCUUCCCGUAUGCUUCUGAACUAUUCUUUGAUGAGACAAAUCUGACCUUCUUUUAGCUGCAUCUCCCAAUGGAAGGUGCAGCUUAGCAACUAGCGACAGCUGGCUUGCCUUUGUUAGGGACUUGGACACCCCAG
rnacentral:lncRNA from 1 species